AACGAGCGCUGGCGGCAUGCCUAACACAUGCAAGUCGAACGAAGGCUUCGGCCUUAGUGGCGCACGGGUGCGUAACGCGUGGGAAUCUGCCCUUGGGUUCGGAAUAACUCAGAGAAAUUUGAGCUAAUACCGGAUGAUGACGUAAGUCCAAAGAUUUAUCGCCCAAGGAUGAGCCCGCGUAAGAUUAGCUAGUUGGUGGGGUAAAGGCCUACCAAGGCGACGAUCUUUAGCUGGUCUGAGAGGAUGGAUCAGCCACACUGGGACUGAGACACGGCCCAGACUCCUACGGGAGGCAGCAGUGGGGAAUAUUGGACAAUGGGCGAAAGCCUGAUCCAGCAAUGCCGCGUGAGUGUUGAAGGCCUUAGGGUUGUAAAGCUCUUUUACCAGGGAUGAUAAUGACAGUACCUGGAGAAUAAAGCUUCCGGCUAACUCCGUAGGU
rnacentral:rRNA from 1 species